CUACGGGGUGCUCCAGUUAAGAAUCUUGCACAAUGGGCGCAAGCCUGAUGCAGCGACGCCGCGUGAAUGAUGAAGGCUUUAGGGUUGUAAAGUUCGGUAAGCAGGGAAGAAUAAGCGCCGGGUAAUAUUCGGUGUGAUGACGGUACCUGCCUAAAGCCCCGACUAACUACGUGCAAGCAGCCGCGGUAAUACGUAUGGGGCGAGCGUUGUUCGGAAUUAUUGGGCGUAAAGGGCGUCUAGGCGGGGAUUUAAGUUAGGUGUGAAAGCUAUGGGCUCAACCCAUAAACUGCAUCUAAAACUGGAUCUCUUGAGUGCGGGAGAGGAGAGCGGAAUUCCAGGUGUAGCGGUGAAAUGCGUAGAUAUCUGGAAGAACACCAGUGGCGAAGGCGGCUCUCUGGCCUAGAACUGACGCUGAAGCGCGAAAGCGUGGGGAGCGAACAGGAUUAGAUACCCCCGUAGUC
rnacentral:rRNA from 1 species